UACGGAGGGUGCAAGCGUUAUCCGGAUUCACUGGGUUUAAAGGGUGCGUAGGUGGGUUGGUAAGUCAGUGGUGAAAUCUCCGUGCUUAACAUGGAAACUGCCAUUGAUACUACUGGUCUCGAAUUUUCUGGAGGUAAGCGGAAUAUGUCAUGUAGCGGUGAAAUGCUUAGAUAUGACAUAGAACACCAAUUGCGAAGGCAGCUUACUACAGGGACAUUGACACUGAGGCACGAAAGCGUGGGGAUCAAACAGG
rnacentral:rRNA from 1 species